AUACAUUCUUAAACCCUCUUGGUAGCUUCGCUCUAAAUGCUUCCAAGAUAUGAGUGAAUGCUGUAGAAAUUGCAGAGGAGUCCAAAGGACUACACUUCCCCUGUGGCUCAGUCUUAUUUCAUACCUGUGACAUCU
ensembl:snoRNA